rnacentral:tRNA from 1 species
AUUUAUAUAGUUUAAUUAAAACUUUGAUUUGUGGUGUCAAGGAUGUAUUAAUAGUACUUUAAAUA